rnacentral:rRNA from 1 species
UUUCGCAAUGCCCGAAAGGGUGACGAAGCGACGCCGCGUGAGUGAGGAAGGCCUUCGGGUUGUAAAGCUCUGUCAGGAGUUAAGAAAUAUAAGUGUGUUAAUACCACAUUUAUUUGACGAAGGCUCCAAAGGAAGCCACGGCUGACUCCGUGCCAGCAGCCGCGGUAAUACAGAGGUGGCAAGCGUUGUUCGGAAUUAUUGGGCGUAAAGAGCACGUAGGUGGGUUUGUAAGUCAGAUGUGAAAGCCUUCUGUUCAACGGAAGAAUUGCAUCUGAAACUGCGAGUCUUGAGUGUAGGAGGGGAGAAUGGAACUUCUGGUGGAGCGGUGAAAUGCGUAGAUAUCAGAAGGAACGCCGGCGGCGAAAGCGAUUCUCUGGCCUAUUACUGACACUCGGUGUGCGAAAGCUAGGGGAGCAAACGGGAUUAGAUACCCCGGUAGUCCUAGCUGUAAACGAUGGGCACUAAGUAGAGGGGUUUUA